rnacentral:lncRNA from 1 species
UCUCUUGCCUACACUGGAGUGCAGCAGCGUGAUUUGUCUCAGCUCACUGUAACCUCAACCUUCCAGGCUCAAGUGAUCCUUCUACUUCAGCUUCUUGAGUACCUGGGACUUACAGCAAGUUAUAAUUUCCAAACUGGACAUGGUGAUGGACACUUGUGGUCCCAGCUACUCAAGAGGCUGAGACAGGAAGAUGGCUUGAGCCCAGGAGUUCCAGCCUACUGUGAGCUAUGACUGCUACACUGCAUUCCAGCAUGGGUGACAGAGCUAGACCCCAUCUUUUAAAAAAAGAGUUAUAAUUUUCAAAUAAAUCUACCUUUAUGAUUUCACUUACCCCAAACUAAAAGAGUAUGUAUUGAAGUUUCUUAGAGAUGAAACACUUAUCAUGCUAUUUCUUAUGAUCUCAUUCUGGUAUGUUUUCAUAAUACAUGCAAUAUCUAUUUUUCAAAAGAUGAUAUCUGUAUAAUCUCAAAAUUCUAUGAUUUUAGUAAUCUGGUAAUACUAUAAAAAAUUUAUCCCAUUCCUACUCAAUUGUACAGUAGGAAAAAUAAAAAUCAGUCUCAUUUUAUAUAACAAGUAUUACAUUAGUUUUUGAAGACAUAGAUAACUAAUGAAAGAUACUUUAAGAUUAUAUAAUUUGUUAUAAAGAAGUAAGUAUUUGUUUUAUUUUAAAAGCAACCCAUACUUAGGGAAGUCAGAGACGAGAAGCUCCUACUAUAGAAGGUGGAAUUGUAUUAAAUUUUUUUGCUGAAGAAUCAAAUAUAUACAGAAAAGCUAACAAAUCAGUAGUUACAUUUUGGUAAAAUUUCAGAAAGUGAAGAUGCUUUUGGAGCACUGCUCAGAUCCAAAGAUUUUUACUGACACCCAACUCCAAUGACUGAUUACUACCUACCCCCUUCCUUAAUAGUAACCAUGCUCCUGAACGAUCACCACAGACUAGUUUUUUUUCAAAUAACUUUAUAUAAAUGAGAUGAAAUAAUACAGAUUAUUCAUCUCUGGUUUGUUUAGCAUUACAUUUUGUUUGUGCAAUUUGCCUAUAUUUGCAUAGAGCGGUAAUUGGUUCAUUGUGAUUGCCACAUUAACAGUUGAUGAAUGUUUAACUUGUUUUCAGUUUGAAGCUGUUAUGAAUAAAGUGCAAUAAACAUGUUUUAUACGUGUUUUGUAACUAUAAGCAAGCAUUUAUGUUGGGUGCAACUUUGAGAGCUUAAGUUUUAGCUCUUCUUUUGUGCAUACAUCGGUAUUCAAUUGUAUUUUUAAUUCACAUGUGAUCUCUAAUGAGUGAGACUGCAUACCUUUUCAUGUGUUCAGGUAAAUACCUUAGACAGUCCGAGGUUGACCGUACUAAUCACUGAGAUCGUUUCUUCUACCUGAAGAAUUUGCUUUAGUAUUUUGUUUACUGUGGGGAUUCUGCUGACUACUUAUUUCAGUUAUUACUUGCCAAAUAUAACUGUCUUUGGUCUGUAUUAUUUUCAUUAGACAUGUAACUCUAGGGCAUCAACAUUUUUUUCAUCUAAGCACUUUGAAGAUAAUUUUCAAUGAUCA